UACGUAGGGUGCGAGCGUUAAUCGGAAUUACUGGGCGUAAAGUGUGCGCAGGCGGCCGCGCAAGUCGAGUGUGAAAGCCCCGAGCUUAACUUGGGAAUUGCGCUCGAAACUACGUGGCUGGAGUGUGGCAGAGGAAGGUGGAAUUCCAGGUGUAGCGGUGAAAUUCGUAGAUAUCGGGAGGAACACCAGUGGCGAAGGCGGCGACCUGGGCCAAUAUUGACGCUGAGGUGCGAAAGCGUGGGGAGCAAACAGG
rnacentral:rRNA from 1 species